GUGCCAGCAGCCGCGGUAAUACGAAGGGGGCUAGCGUUGUUCGGAAUUACUGGGCGUAAAGCGCACGUAGGCGGGUUUGUAAGUAGAGGGUGAAAUCCCAGGGCUCAACCCUGGAACUGCCUUCUAGACUGCAAGCCUGGAGGUCAGGAGAGGCGAGCGGAAUUCCGAGUGUAGAGGUGAAAUUCGUAGAUAUUCGGAGGAACACCAGUGGCGAAGGCGGCUCGCUGGACUGAUACUGACGCUGAGGUGCGAAAGCGUGGGGAGCAAACAGGAUUAGAAACCCUAGUAGUCC
rnacentral:rRNA from 1 species